UACGAAGGGGGCUAGCGUUGCUCGGAAUUGACUGGGCGUAAAAGGGCGCGUAGGCGGUUUGACAGUCAGGUGUGAAAGCCCCGGGCUCAACCUGGGAAUUGCAUUUGAGACUGCGUAGCUAGGGUGCGGAAGAGGGAAGCGGAAUUUCCGGUGUAGCGGUGAAAUGCGUAGAUAUCGGAAGGAACACCAGUGGCGAAAGCGGCUUCCUGGUCCAGCACCGACGUUCAGGCACGAAAGCGUGGGGAGCAAACAGG
rnacentral:rRNA from 1 species